GACGAACGCUGGCGGCGUGCUUAACACAUGCAAGUCGAACGGAAAGGCCCUGCUUUUGUGGGGUGCUCGAGUGGCGAACGGGUGAGUAACACGUGAGUAACCUGCCCUUGACCUUGGGAUAACUUCAGGAAACUGGGGCUAAUACCGGAUAGGAGCUCCUGCUGCAUGGUGGGGGUUGGAAAGUUUCGGCGGUUGGGGAUGGACUCGCGGCUUAUCAGCUUGUUGGUGGGGUAGUGGCUUACCAAGGCUUUGACGGGUAGCCGGCCUGGGAGGGUGACCGGCCACAUUGGGCCUGAGAUACGGCCCAGACUCCUACGGGAGGCAGCAGUGGGGAAUAUUGCACAAUGGGCGGAAGCCUGAUGCAGCAACGCCGCGUGCGGGAUGACGGCCUUCGGGUUGUAAACCGCUUUCGCCUGUGACGAAGCGUGAGUGACGGUAAUGGGUAAAGAAGCACCGGCUAACUACGUG
rnacentral:rRNA from 1 species